rnacentral:rRNA from 1 species
GACGAACGCUGGCGGCGUGCUUAACACAUGCAAGUCGAACGGAAAGGCCCCUUUGGGGGUACUCGAGUGGCGAACGGGUGAGUAACACGUGAGUAACCUGCCCUUGACUUCGGGAUAACUUCAGGAAACUGGGGCUAAUACCGGAUAGGAAUCCUUGCUGCAUGGUGGGGGUUGAAAAGCUUCGGCGGUUUUGGAUGGACUCGCGGCUUAUCAGCUUGUUGGUGGGGUAGUGGCUUACCAAGGCUUUGACGGGUAGCCGGCCUGAGAGGGCGACCGGCCACAUUGGGACUGAGAUACGGCCCAGACUCCUACGGGAGGCAGCAGUGGGGAAUAUUGCACAAUGGGCGGAAGCCUGAUGCGGCAACGCCGCGUGCGGGAUGACGGCCUUCGGGUUGUAAACCGCUUUCAGCAGGGGCGAAGCUUGUGGUGACGGUACCUGCAGAAGAAGCACCGGCUAACUACGU